CCUACGGGAGGCAGCAGUGAGGAAUAUUGGUCAAUGGGCGAGAGCCUGAACCAGCCAAGUCGCGUGAAGGAUGACUGCCCUAUGGGUUGUAAACUUCUUUUGUAAGGGAAUAAAAAAAGGUACGUGUACUUUAUUGUAUGUACUUUACGAAUAAGGAUCGGCUAACUCCGUGCCAGCAGCCGCGGUAAU
rnacentral:rRNA from 1 species